rnacentral:lncRNA from 11 species
AUUUAUUCUCUUUUCCCAGCCAGAUACAUAUUUUUUCCCUUUAAUCCGACCCUUUUAACUGUCAUUAGGUGCAAUUGUAAAUCAGUUGGAAAAGGAAGCCUACUCCAUGACUUUAAGAAAAGAGAAGACCCAUUGGAUUACACGAGAAGCGACUUGAGAACAUACUGCAAGUCGCUUCUGGUGUGGGAGAAUUGGCCAUCUACAGAGACGUUGCCCAGGGGACGUCCGGCUGUGUUACCAUCCUGCUGGGAGGCUUCUCUCAUGUCCCCACAAGCUAGAGAUGACAGAUGGGAGCUCACCCUGUCUCGUGGAUUCAAACCAGUAACCUUCAAGUCAGCAUCAGCAACCCAACCUUCAGGUCAGCAGGUCAUCCACUUUGACACCGAGUCCUUGAUGGAGUACUUCCUCAUUCUUCCACAUGCUGCUGGACAUUUUUAUGGUGAUGUUAAUUAGUUAAAUUAGCCUCCCUGCAUAAAGCACCACCUAAAUUUCCUACUCGACAGAUGCUACAAAUAUCGGAAACAGCAAAUGAAGUACCAAGAGUUUUUCAUGUACUUAUUAUAUUGAGUUCCAUCACAGAUCCUCUAAAAAUACAAGGUGAAAGCUCUCCUGGCAUGAUAUUUUACAAAACCAGGAUAUGUAUGUUCCUGAGUGAUUAUAUGAUACCAUGGAAUAACCAAAGCUUGGAAGUAAAGGACUACGAAUAAUCUGUUAUGCGGAAAUGGAUCAUAAUAAUGUAACAAAGCUAUGUUCCAAAAGCAACAGAAUGAAUGGGAAUUGCUUAAAUAUGGCACUGUGUAUGAUAGUGGUGAUAUCGUGUGCAC